rnacentral:rRNA from 1 species
UACGAAGGGAGCUAGCGUUGUUCGGAAUCACUGGGCGUAAAGCGCACGUAGGCGGAUUUGCAAGUCAGGGGUGAAAUCCCGGGGCUCAACCUCGGAACUGCCUUUGAUACAGCAAGUCUUGAGUUCGAGAGAGGUGGGUGGAAUUCCUAGUGUAGAGGUGAAAUUCGUAGAUAUUAGGAAGAACACCGGUGGCGAAGGCGGCCCACUGGCUCGACACUGACGCUGAGGUGCGAAAGCGUGGGGAGCAAACAGG